GGGUGCGAUCAUACCAGCACUAAAACACCGGAUCCCAUCAGAACUCCGCAGCUAAGCGUGCUUGGGCGAGAGUAGUACUGGGAUGGGUGACCUACAGGGAAAUCCUCGUGUUGCACCCC
rnacentral:rRNA from 1 species